ensembl:misc_RNA Metazoa_SRP Metazoan signal recognition particle RNA
GCUCGUGGGCCCAGUGGGGCGUGCCUGUAGUCCCAGCUACUUGGGAAGCCGACGUGGGAGAGGAUGGCUUGAGCCCAGGAGUUCUGGGCUGUAGCGCACAAUGCCGAUAGGGUGUCCACACUAGCUCAGCAUCAAUAUGGUGACCUCCCGGGAUCGGAGGUCCACCAGGUUGCCUAAGGAGGGGUGAACCAGCUCAGAUCGGAAACGGAGAAGGUCAAAACUCUGGUGCUGAUCAGUAGUGGGAUCGCCUGUGAAUAGUCACUGCACUCCAGCCUGGGCAACACAGCGAGACUCCAUUUCUU